UUACUUUGUUUGUAUCGGGAGCCAUCGCAAGAAUCAGAAUGAAGACAGAUUCGAUUAAGCUCUGAAACAGCAACAAAUUUUGCAGCAGCUUCAGCUCCAUAUCUGACUAAUCGAAGAGGAAGCCCUGCAACUUGAUCAAGAUUCCUUUAAAGCAAGCGGCAAAGAAAAAGAAAAGUGAAUGGAUCGACCGGGUCAUCACCAGCUAUGGACAUUUACGGCGGAAAACUUAAAUGAGGUUCCCCAGCUUAGGAACUUGCGAAGAGCACAGCACAUUCUUGCUUAGCUGGAAAGACAAAUAUUGCUGUACUAGAACCAACAAUUCACAAGGAAUUGGGAGAAGAAUAUUCAUCGACGAAGCCUUCUGAUGGAAGGAAAGUGCACGAGAUCACAUCGAAGGAAGCACGAAAAAGACAGACGCGAUGGUGCACCACAUAACUCCCUCCCAAUUGCCUUAGGAUCCUAUCUGUGAUUCCAACUUCUACCACGCUUUUCUAUCUUGAUAGCCUUUCAGCUUUGUGGCUUGUCAUCUUUUUUCAGAUAGGGAAUGUGCUGUCUAGCUAAGAGAUCUGCUGGGGGGCCGCAUUCAACAUUCAUGUCUGUGCAAAAGGAGAGAGUAUCGAAAAUUAGGGAAUUUACUUUAUCAGAAACUGCCAAAACAACUACUGAAUUGGAUCCAUAAUGCAAGCUUUUCAAGAUCUAUAAUGCCUCAGAAGAAAGUGUUGUGCACCUAAGACAACUAUCAUAAUCAGAAUAGAUCCCUUGCAGCUACUUCCUUUCGACAGGAUGAACUGCUACUUUCUGUUAACUGAUGUCGGAGGCAAGGCUGUGCCGGAGGAAUGCUCACUGGGAGAAACUGGAGCUCAUGAUGUAUGCAAAAUGUGGCAAACCAGGAAAAGUGAGAUUGACUGGAGUACCUAAUGCUGAAAUGAGAGGACCACCAGCAGGCUGCACAAUGGUUGUUUGAUACAUUUUUGAAAUCUGAAGUAAACCGGACCACUGCUCGGAA